ACGAAGAGGUAUCGUAAUUGAAGAGGUUUGGAAAGACCCACCACAGAAGGUAAUAGUCCUGUAUGUUAAACGAGAAGACUUCAGAUAUGAUCCAGAGUACCACGGGACACGUGAAACCCUGUGGGAAGCAGGAGGGACCACCCUCCAAGGCUAAAUACUACCUAGUGACCGAUAGCGUAUAGUACCGUGAGGGAAAGGUGAAAAGAACCCCGGGAGGGGAGUGAAAUAGAACCUGAAACCCUGCACUUACAAGCUGUGGAAGCACAUUUCUUGUGUGACCGCGUACUUUUUGUAGAACGGGCCAACGAGUUACGUUAAGUAGCAAGGUUAAGCACUUAAGGUGCGGAGCCGUAGCGAAAGCGAGUUUUAACUGAGCGUUCAGUUACUUGACGUAGACCCGAAACCGGGCGACCUACCCAUGAGCAGGAUGAAGCGAAAGUAAAAUUUCGUGGAGGUCCGAACCCACGAGCGUUGAAAAGCUCGGGGAUGACUUGUGGGUAGCGGUGAAAUUCCAAUCGAGCCCGGAGAUAGCUGGUUCUCCCCGAAAUAGCUUUAGGGCUAGCCUCAAGGUGAGAGAUACGGAGGUAGAGCACUGAAUGUCCUAGGGGGUAUUGCACCUACCGAAGACUAUCAAACUCCGAAUGCCGUCAUCUUAUACUUGGGAGUCAGACUGUGGGUGAUAAGAUUCAUAGUCGAAAGGGCAACAGCCCAGAUCGUCAGCUAAGGUCCCUAAAUGUAAGUUAAGUGGUAAAGGAUGUGGGAUUGCACAGACAACCAGGAUGUUGGCUUAGAAGCAGCCACUCAUUCAAAGAGUGCGUAAUAGCUCACUGGUCGAGUGAUCCUGCGCCGAAGAUUUCCGGGGCUAAAACUUACUACCGAAGCUACGGCAUCAGU
rnacentral:rRNA from 1 species